GCCCUCCCGACGCGCUGCGCAGCAGCGCGCGCUGUGCUAGGCUGUUGCUCCCGCUGGAGUGUAGUUUCCUCUAGUACCCCCGCCCCCCGCACCCGGUUGGCCGCUGGGAACUCGGUAGGGACGCCAGGUCUGGAUCAAGGUUUGCUGCGGUACUCCUCCUACCUAUACCUGGAGCAUGCCUUGGCUGGUUCUCAAUCCCAGAAUGCUGAGAGACACAUGUAGCAGAGCCACUCCAGCUGGCCCAGGAACCUGAAGUAAGAAGCAGAUCCAGCCAGGGCCACACCCACUAGGCAAGGGGUGGAAUUGGAGCUACAUCUGCCACCCUAUGCCUCAGCCACAGCAAUGCAGGAUCCAAGCCGCAUCAGUGAACUACACCACAGCUCACAACAAUGCCAGAUCCUUGACCCACUGAGGAAGGCCAGGGAUUGAACUUGCAUCCUCACAGAUACUAGUCAGAUUCAUUUCUGCUGUCCCACAAUGGGAACUCCUGUUUAAUUUUUAAAGAAAUUGUCAACUGUUUUCCAAAGUGGUUGUACCAUUUUACAUUUCUAUCAGCAGUAUUCAGGAGUUCCAGGUACUCCAUUAAGUCACCAGUAUUUGGUAUGUUUGGUCUUUUUAAUUCUAGCCUUUUCUUUUCUCCUCAAAUGUCCAGCGUUCUCCUCCCUCAUCCCCACUUUCAGCUGAUGACCUUUCUUCCUGUUUUACUGAGAAAACCGAAGCAAAUAGAAGAGAAUUUUUAAGACUCCCAUCAUAACAUCAACUUACCUAUCAGCAUAUGUAGGCAUAUACUCUUUCUGUCUAUUAUUAAACAUAAACUCUCUCCAUUCUCCUCUAUAAGGCCAUGUUUACUACUUGCUCAGAGAGCACACCUUCUUUAUCUGUUCAAAUGUCAUUCCUUCAGUUAUCCCCUCUCCUACAACAUCAAAUUUUCCCUUUGUACUGGAAAAUCCCAAUCAGCAUACAAAUAUUUUUAUCUCUUCCUUCUUGAGACCAAAAACAAAAAUACUGCUUCAACUCAUUGACAUUAGCCCAUAACUUUGCUUCCUUCUGCAGCAAAGAGUCAUCUAUAGUUGGUAUUUCUAAUUCCUCUCAUUUCUUUUUUUUUUUUUUUUUUUUUUUUUUUGUCUUUUGUCUUUAUAGGGCUGCACCUCCGGCAUAUGGAGGUUCCGAGUCUAGGGGUUUAAUCAGAGCUGCUGCUGCUGGCCUACGCCAGAGUCACAGCAAUGCCAGAUCCAAGCUGUGUUUGUGACCUACACCACAGCUCCAGGCAACACCAGAUUCUUAACCCACUGAGCGAGGCCAGGGAUUGAACCCUUGACCUCAUGGUUCCUAGUCAGAUUCGUUUCCACUGCACCACCACAGGAACUCAAAUAUUUUUUUUCUUUUGUCCUCUCAUAUUUUAGUCAAGCUAUUUCCUCCAUCCUGAUCAAAACUACUCUUGAUAUGGUGACUAAUAGACUCCCCAUUGCUAACCCCAAAUGGUCAAUUAUCAGGUUUUAUCUUACUCGAACCUUGAGCAAUUUUGACACUAUCGAUCACUUUUACUUGACAUAUCUUCUUUUGGCUUUCACAACAUCAACUUUCUUGUAUUUUCUCCUGUUAUCGCUCCUUUUCAACUUCCUUUUGUUGCUUUAUCCUGGUCUCCUUACCACUCAUUGUUGCAGUGUUAUAGAGUUCAAUCCUUGGUCUUUUUGUCUUUAACUAGGCUAGCUCCUUGGGGAUCUCACCCAGUUGCAUGGUUUUAAAUACCAUUUUGUAUGCCAAUGACUCCCACCUGUCAAUCAUCAGCCCAGAAAUCUUCCUCCAACUGCAAAUUUGUAUGUCUCCUCACCUACCUGAAAUCCUUACUUGAAUGUCUACUAAGCCAUCCAAAAUUCAACCUGCCCCAAAUUAAACUCCUGAUUUUUUUUGCUACUUUCCCUAAAUAUGUUUCUCUCAUAGCAUUACAUAUUUCUGUUGAUGGCAGUUCCAUUUUUCCACUUGUGCAGGCCAAAAUUUUUGAAACAUUCUCAAAAAUAUCUCUUCUUUUUGGACUGUUCUUUUUCUCACAUUAUACAUUUAACCCACCAGUAAUUCUCUUUGUCUUUACCUUCAAAAUCUAUCCAUAACCCAAUUACUACUUAUCACGUCUUCUGCUACCAUCCUGCUCUAAGCUACCAUGAUCUUUAGGCUGGGUUAUCUUAGUAGCUUCCCAAAAGAUCCUCCUAUUUCUUGUCUUGCUCGUCAGUAAUCUAUCCACGUGGCUCUCAACUGAAGGAAAUUUUGUGCCUCCUGUGGGGUAAUAUCUGUAGAACAUUUUUGAUUGUCACAGCUGGGGGAGGUGGUGCCACUGGCAUCUAGUAGGUCAAGGUCAAAGAUACUCUAAAUAUUGUAAACAUGCAGAAUAGCACUCACCACAAAUAAUCAUCCGACUUGAAAUGUAGUAGCACGAGGUUGAGAAAUCUUUUGUUUAUCUUCAUCAUAUUUAUUAGAGUUAUCCUUUUUAAUUUUUAAAAAUUCUGUUGGGGUAUAUUUGACUUACAAUAUUGUAUUAGUUUCAGUUGUAUAGCAAAGUAAAUCAGUGAUAUAUAUAUGAUAUGUAUAUAAAAUCAUUCAUAUAUAUAACAAUUCAUAUAUAGAGAUUAUAUAUUGUAUAUAUAUGUAAUAUAUAUAUCCCCAUUCUUUUUUCCUAUAUAUGUUAUUAGGAACUGAGUUAAUCUGGGCACUCUCUGUUAAAAUUUCUGCAAAAUUUCUCUGUGCCACUUAUAGUAAAACAAAAGUUUCUACAAUAACCUAUAGGCCUUAUAUGAUAUGGCUUCCCAUUAGCCUUCUGAUAUCUUCAAUUAGCCUCUGUUAUGCUUAUUCUGCUCCAGAGGCAAGCACAACAUUAGCAUUACAACCUGCUUCCUCCUCUGGCAUUUUUUUUUUUUUUUUUUUUUUUUUUUUUUUUGUCUUUUUGCUAUUUCUUGGGCCGCUACCGAAGCAUAUGGAGGUUCUCAGGCUAGGGGUCUAAUCUGUUCUGUAGCCACCGGCCUAGGCCAGAGCCACAGCAACGUGGGAUCCGAGCCGCGUCUGCGAGCUACAGCACAGCUCACAGCAACGCCAGAUCGUUAACCCACUGAGCAAGCGCAGGGACAGAACCCUCAACCUCAUGGUUCCUAAUCGGAUUCGUUAACCACUGUUCCACGACGGGAACUCUCCUCCCCCUGGCAUUUCUGACCCUCCUUACUCUGUUUUCUGUUUCCUAUUUUCCAUAGCAAUUAUUACCUUUUAACACACUAAAAAAUUUAUUUUAUCAAGUACAUUGUUCCUUCUCUGCAAAUAAGCUCCAUCACCAUAUCCAAGUGUCAAGAAGCAUGGUUACAUAUGGGAAGAACUGAGUAAAUAUUUUUAACUGAAUGAAGAAGGUUGCUUGAAGGCAAGAAAUUCAAUAGGAAAAUGCUGUAUAUAGUGGUAUAGUAUAUAGAUCAAGUCUUUCUCACAACAAAUUUAAAAGAAGGACAUUCCUUUCCCUAUUCUCCAGUUGGGCAAGAAGUUUAAGGGACUUCCCCAAAGUCACACAAUAAAUAGGGAAGCCAGGAUUCAAACCCAAGUCUACCUCAUUCCAAACCCUCUGCUCUUUAACCAGUGUUAAACUGAACUUCAGGGAGUUCAUAUCAUGGCUCAGUGGUUAACGAAUCUGACUAGCAUCCAUGAGGAUGCAGGUUUGAUCCCUGGCCUUGCUCAGUGGGUUAAGGAUCAACAUUGCUGUGGCUGCGGUGUAGGUUGGCAGCUACAGCUCUGAUUCAACCCCUAGACUGGGAACCUCCAUAUGCCGCCGGUGUGGCCCUAAAAAGCAGGAGAAAAAAAAAAAAA
rnacentral:lncRNA from 1 species